UCCCAUGUACUGCAGUUGGUAAAGAAUCUGCCUGCAAUGCAGGAGACCCAGGUUCAAUCCCUGGGUUGGGAA
rnacentral:tRNA from 1 species